GCAUUGUUUCGAUAGUGCUGCUUAAUUCUUGGAAGGUUCUUCGGACUUCACACAUUCCAGCAGUAGCUCUCUCAGCUCCUGUCCUGCACAGCUUUGAAGUGCUGGUGAUGUCAUUGAACUCUUAAGUGCAAGAUGAAACAAGUCUUUCUGGGGUUCUAAGUAGCGUCUUCAAAGUGUCUUCUGUAAAGACUUCUUCAGACUGUCAAUAGGAAGACUGAUAAACUCAGUUCAGAUGCGAGAGGAAAUCGAGUCAUCAUCAAUGGCACCUCAUGUUAGCCUGCCAUGGCAACAAGCUCAUUGAUUGAGUAAAAGAACUUUCAGAUGCACUAGCUGGUCUUUAACGGGUUGCUGAAAGCACAGAUAAGACGACUGAGGGAGCCGACUGAAUUUCCAUGGAUAUAUACAAAGGGAAUGGAAAAUCACAGUACGAUUUUUCAUUGGCUCCUGAUAGAGCUAGGUCCUUGUAUAAUUCUAAAACUGGUGUAUAAAACAAUGUCCACGCCAUUCAUUUUGGUUAUAACUAUUAAGGGGAAGGGAGAUGAUGUCUGUGGAAUUGCAAAGUAGUUUGCACUAGAAUUUUCUAUUACAUAUGCUCUAAUAGGAGUAUUUUCCUCUGUUACAUUAUGACUUAUGUAAUAAUAAUAGCUAAGGAUUACUGAGGGUUUUUAUUUUCUUUUCUGCAUGAUCUUGACCGUUUUUCGAAACAGUCCUUGUUGCUGGAUACUAUUUAUGUCACCAUUUUACAAAUGAGAAUGCCAAAGUUCAGAGUGACAUCCAUCUAAAAGAGGCCAGUUUCAGCCUUGAACCCAUUAUACUCUAAUCCCAUUUUCAAAGUAACUCUUGGUUUUCUCAAAAGGCCUUUAAAUGUAUGGAUAAGCCAAUAUGAGGGCAGCAAUGUUGUGGUUAAGUGUGUGCACUUUGGUUGGACUCUGCCGAAGGCCAGCACCACCAUUUAGUAGCUAUGUGAACCAGUGAGUUACUUAAAACCUAUACCUCCACUUCCUCAUCUGCAAAAUGGGGUUGUGGUAAGGCUGGAAUAAGUUAAUGCAUGUAGCAUGUUGAGAAGGCACUGUCUAAGCGCAUGGCACAUGGUAAGCAUGUAGGAAACAGCAACACAUGCCUGGGUCUGAGUUCUGCUCUGUCAUGAUGAUUGGUGCCCAACGGGAAAAGCUCUUCCGCACCAGCGUUUUACAAGCCUAGCUCCUCCUUUUCCAAAACAAGUUCCCAGGCCAUGGUCAAUAUCAACAUUCAGGGGAAAUACAUUCUGUUCAUUGUAGAUAUGACAGUGAGAAUAUUUGCUGAAUAACAAUUAAGCUAUCUGAUUGCGUAAUAGUUAAAAGGUUUGUUUUUACCAUCUGUGAAUUAAAGCCAAAAAUAACAACCAAUUCAUAGAAUAUUGUGACGGUUAUAGGAGAUGCAGCUUGUCAGCUGCUCAGCUCAGCGGCCUGGGCAUGAUUAGAAUUCCACACAUAAUAGUGAUUACCAUCAGUAUUAUUAUUAUUAAGGCAACACAGUGAUCGUAGUAAUGGUAAAACAGAGAGAUCUACCUAAUCCAAAAUUCUAUUCAACAAGGGAGUUUCUACAUAUAGCCACUAUGGUUUCUAAUUUUCAAAGAAUCAGCAUAUAAUAAAAUGCUCUCAAUAAUAAAGCUGAACUGAAUAUAUUAUAAUAACUUAAUGAGGCAGAAGACAUUUGAGAUGCCUCAAUUAUCAAUGUGUUUCACAGAUUCAAAAGUGUAACUUUAUACAUUUAUUCAAUAGAUAAAACACUGACUAGGUCCGCUUAAAGUUGAAAUAGAUUUUUGGAUUCUCUCAAAGUAUAGGGCAAUAACAAAUAUAGAAGUUUUCUGAAAAAAAAUAAGCAAAAUAGAAAUAGUACUAUUAUUAGUUUUAAAAUAUUAUAAAAGAAUUUUAAAUGAGACAAAAAUAAUAUGAUGGCAAUAUAUGGCCUUUUACAAAGAGAGGAACUGAGGCAGGGAGGAGAAAUAAUUCUAGAAUGACAUGCUGGUUAGAGGUAUGAUGUGUCGGACCACAAGAAUGAUGUGAUUCUGACUUUUCCUUUAUUUACAAAUCACUUUGGAUAAACCGAUGGCUCUUGCUGAGCCCCUGGGUUGGUGGAGGAGUAACAUGCCUGGGAGUCGAGCAUCCUAAGACGUGCACCCUGAGGACUGCAGGAAAAGUGCAGAAAUUAGGUAGAAAUAGGGCUUGUUUAGCAUUCAUGAUGGCUAGGUGUCUUACUGCAGGUGUCUUAAGAAACUACCCAGUAACUCACUGAACCAGCAACUCUGUGCAUGGCCUCCUGAGAGGUGAGGGACACAAAGAUUUUAUCAAGAGUGAAGCAUGUGUCUGUGUUCAAGUAUCUUGCAAAAUGAAGACAAAAGAAGUAGUUUGCAAUUAGCUCUUAGUUCCUACCUUUCAAAGAAGCAUCCGCCAGUCAGGUGAGAUGAAACUGACCAUGAAGAGAAGCUUGUAUCUGUAUAAAAUGCAAACCUGUUUGGACAGCGGAAUGGGGUUUGCUUCAAACUUCAGGGUGCAUUUAUAUAA
ensembl:lncRNA HULC hepatocellular carcinoma up-regulated long non-coding RNA